ACUCUCGGCAACGGAUAUCUCGGCUCUCGCCACGAUGAAGAAUGUAGCGAAAUGCGAUACUUAGUGUGAAUUGCAGAAUCCCGUGAAUCAUCAAGUCUUUGAACGCAAGUUGCGCCCGAGGCCUCGGCCAAGGGCACGUCUGCUUGGGCGUC
rnacentral:rRNA from 1 species